GUAGAAAACGGCAUCAAACCCUAGCCCCAAUCCACAGCCCGCGCCCCUCGCUCCUCCCUCCCUCGUCCGCCGCCACUCCCUCCCACCUCCUCCUCCUGCGCCCUAGGAGCCCCGCCGCCGACUGCUACUCCUCCAUCGCCUCGCCUCUUCCUCCUUCUCGCCUUCCCAUUGCUCGGGCGCAAGCUGCCGUGGCCACGCGCUUCGUGGGUGAACCCCGAUCUCCAACGCCUGCUCCUGGUUCGCGCGGGACAAGCUCCCCUGCAUCCUCCUCCUCGCGGCAGAGGACGACGCCUCCGGAGUGAGCUGAGGGUGGGGGUCGGGUCAAGGCUGCUGUUGGCGGCCUGGAUGCAGGCGAUGGUGGCGGCCGGCGGGGGUCUGGCGGGCGAGGGAAGGAGCAGCACCCGGCCAGCCGCCGCCGCACCUCCUCCACCCGGCCAGCCAUGGCGCUCGCAGAUCCGCCGGCUCCGUCGUCGUCGCUGCGCUCGCAGGUGAGCGGCGCCGAGAGCUGCCGUCGUGAGGAAACCGUGGGAGGACGAGCUCAACCUGGACGAGGUCGUUGUUGUCGUCGGCACCUCCGCCAUCUGGCCACGAGCCCCCGCCCCCGCGUCCAUCGCCACGCGUGUUGUGGCGACCCCGGGAGGAGCUCGAGCCGCAUCGGUGGUCCACGGAGCAUCUGCACGCGUGCAGCGGAGACCCCAGGAUGAGCUCGAGCCGCAGCGCUGGUCCACAGCGCCGACGCCAUCGUCCGUGAGUCCCAGGUUCAGUCAGGCUCUCUCCCCUCUCUACAUCUCUCUCUCUCUCCUUCUACAUCUCUCCCUCUCUCCGUUAGAGGGCAGCUGCCGACCCCGAGGUGCAACCGGCCAUGGCAAGGCAGGAGGAUUCGCGCCUGGCUAUUCCCCUGCCUGCUGUAGAAUCUAAUCUCUCCCCCUUGCCUCCUACCCUCUUUCUUCAGCUCAUAUGUUUCCUUGUGCAAAUUCUUUUUUGUUUAUGCCUAUAAGGUGUUUGAUGAAAUUUCAGCAACGUCCAAGCAUGCUCACCUCCAGUUCUCCAACAGUCAAAAUGGAAAGAUAACGUGAACAUCCAGUGAGCACUACUGAUGCCAUCAUGGAAAAAUCACUGCUCUUGUUUAAUUUUAUUUACGUAGUCAACAUUUUGAACAAAGGAUUCUCACGUGUUAGAAAACUGUACUCACAUAAAACUGAGUAUUGGUCUAUGGAACUGGAGGUAGUGAGUUUCAGUUCUUAUGAAUUAAUGUUUCUUUAUUUAUUUAGAGCUUCUGUUCAGAUCAUUGACGUUUGCAUAUCCCCUGUUUGUAGUAUCAUUUUGUGUCUCAUGUUAUAACUGCCAUUUUUUUCCUCUACAACCUGUAAAUUUCGAAUUUAGUUUACUGAUCUUUGAAAGUCAUGUAUAACUUGGAAGAAAUGUUAUCCCUACAAAUAAGAACACCCUUAUUCUUUAUUGUGCACCAACCAUGUUGACAAGCUGGCAUCUCUUUGUUCUAUUCUAUUGACUUCAUGUGGCAUUAUGUAUGAAGCCCUUUAAGCACAAACCUUUCGACGCAAGGACUGUCAUGGGAUUUGGAGUGCUCAAUGGCAUCUUAAUUGGGCUUCUCAAUCAGAGUCUAGGUUUCAACUCUGUUGGUUUCUAUCAGAGCAAGUCGAGCGCAUUAGUUGGAUCCAGCUUCUUGAUAUUGCAGAGGACUCGUCAAAAGAUAUACAGGGUUCUCGGCUGGCUGGGAAGACUUGACAAGAGGCACAGGUGGAUUACUACUUCCUUGGAUAUUUUUAGAAAAUAAGUGAAAUGUGCAGACCGACAACAUGGACGGCAGGUCUUGCGGCUCCCAGCGCCCUCAACCCCCCACUGACCCUCUCUCAAUUUUGAUCUCUCCUCUACUCUUCUGGUGAAUGGGAGCAGCAUGUGGAUAUGUUGAACUAUAUAUUAGCUUUUGAUUGGUGCCCAUGAAGUACUUCAGAAUUCAUUAUAUAGUUGUGUCGGUGAAGAUGUCGUAGAUUCGUACAGCCUAGCACUCUUCCGUGGUGGGCAUAUGUUAUUUUGUACCAAUGAUAGAUACAGAAAGUGCAAGACUUCUACUCUCUACUUAAUGAACUGAUUUUGCUUCAGGAUAACAAGCUUGAUUAAUUAGCAUGUUUCUGUGAUCAAUGAAUUACUAAGGUUGUGACCCUAGCUUCGAGGCUUGAGUUCCUUCGGCAGUUCUUUAUUUUACUUAAAUGAUCAUGAACCCUUUACUUAACAUAUGUCCUUUUGUACCUUAGCAAAGGGUCUCGCCACCGCGCGCAGUCCACCUCUCCCCGCAGGCACACCGGCCACCUCCCCAACUGACGCACAUCUUUCCCAUGGGGCCAUGGAACAUGGUGAGCAGCAGUGGCUGUGUCACUUGUAUUGAGCACACCAAUCAGCCUCGGUAGACGGCUGCUGAAGUUGACCCACAGGUUGGAGACAAAGAUAGUGUGACAAUUGACUGACCUUGACAUGUUUGAGAAUUAGGCAAUUGAUUGUGCCAUUUCUCUGCGCAUUGUUGGUGUGUGCUUUGUCAGAUAAAAUGCAUGUUUCUUAGGAGACACGGACUGUAGUUAAUUCCGAAGGAGAAUAGCAACCUUUGCUUCUGCUAGGUACGUACUUAAAUUUAUUGAUAUUCAACUAUUUUUGUUGUUUCGAUUUAGUUCCAUCCAAGGCCACCAGUUGGUUAUAAGUACUUCCAAAUAGUGAUCACCCAAUCUUCUGUAGCAUGUAUAUACUGAUGGUAGUUCCUUCCACUGAAUAUGUGAACAUGGAGAAGACUCACUAUGAAGGUCUCAUGACAACUAAAGUUUUACCUGCUAAUAAAACGGCCGAAACAGAGUAUGCAGAUCUUCAAUAGCUUCGAUAGAUUUUUGUUGAACUACGAUUGUUUCUGUAUGCUUCUUCUCUAAGAGAAAAUUGUGUUCUGUUGUAGUUAAAGUCAGUGGGGGCCUGAAAAUUCACAUCACCAAAAGAAUUGUAGAAUUUGAUACAUUCAACAUGCGUGUUCAGGUUUUAGGAUGAAAUUUAUUCCAAGAUCAUUGCUUCAUGUUUUCCUAUGUAUAUGUUGGCAUCUUUGACUUUGAUAUGUUCGUUGCACUCUAUUGGGCCUGCUUUUGACCCAGGUACAUUGCAGUCGUGUUAAAAAGUAUUGGGCUUGCGGUGAAAGAAGUUGCAGAGAAAUAAUGGCCUUUUGAAGCAACAAUUGACAUGGUUGUACAUACAAGUUUCUUUCUUGGAUGUCUAUUGUCUGUUUUUCUGCUAGCUUUGAUUUCUCUUUUUGGUCAGUUGAAAUGGUUAGUCUUGAUAGGUCGACCACUUAUAUUGUUUUGAAGGUUCAAUGAGCAUAUGGUAAAGAAAGGUAUCAAUAGAUUCACCAACGUAGAUUACAAGAGUAAAGGUUUAUCUAAUGAGGCCUUGUCGCGGCACUGCAGGUGUUGCCCCCCUCUUCUCCAAUGGCUAGGUGAAGGAGGGUGCCUAUGUGGUUCUUCUGCAGCUUGCAGCGAGGAUUGCUGUGUCCAACCUGCACAAGAAUGCCAAGAAGUCCUUCUUGGAGAUGAUUAAGGACAUGUACCUGCACUACAACGAGAGAUCUUGCCUGCUUCUUUGUGGCUUCCAAACUUGAAAUGUUUGUUUGAAAGUUAGUUUAGUUUUUUGUUGUGGAUUCAUAGCUUCUCACAUGUACCGUCCUCUUAGACCUCUAGAUUUUCAAAGAAACUAAAUGAAGAUAUGGUGGUAUGGUCUCAAUAGUACAACUUAAAGCCUUCCAUGCUUUAUAUUUUCUCUGAAAUUUGCUCUUGAAGAA